GACGAACGCUGGCGGCGUGCUUAACACAUGCAAGUCGAACGAUAAAGCUGGAGCUUGCUCCGGUGGAUUAGUGGCGAACGGGUGAGUAACACGUGAGCAAUCUGCCCUUGACUCUGGGAUAACUGCGGGAAACUGUAGCUAAUACCGGAUACUUUCACUGGAAGGCAUCUUCUGGUGAAGAAAGAAUUUCGGUCAAGGAUGAGCUCGCGGCCUAUCAGCUUGUUGGUUAGGUAACGGCUCACCAAGGCGACGACGGGUAGCCGGCCUGAGAGGGUGACCGGCCACACUGGGACUGAGACACGGCCCAGACUCCUACGGGAGGCAGCAGUGGGGAAUAUUGCACAAUGGGCGCAAGCCUGAUGCAGCAACGCCGCGUGAGGGAUGAAGGCCUUCGGGUUGUAAACCUCUUUUAGCAGGGAAGAAGCGAAAGUGACGGUACCUGCAGAAAAAGCACCGGCUAACUACGUGCCAGCCGCCGCAGUAA
rnacentral:rRNA from 1 species